GGCCUCUUGUGUUUCCAAAACAGAAGAAACUGCGAAUUUACAAUUGUUCUUAAAAUCACACGAAAGGGUUGUUACAGUUCCCAACCAAAGGAUUUCUUAUUGGCUGUCAGAGUUCCAUUUAAAAAAUUUAAGAGUUUUGGUAUCACAGCGAAUAAACUUUUCUACCACAUUUUCAAGAAUAAGUACCAGGGAUGAUCUCAGGAGAGAUUCUAUUUUAUUUGUUGGGCAGCCCUGGUGGCUCAUCGGUUUAGCGCUACCUUCAGCCCAGGGCAUGAUCCUGAAAACCCAAGAUGGAGUCCCAUGUGGGGCUCCCUGUAUGGAGCCUGCUUCUCCCUCUG